rnacentral:rRNA from 1 species
GACGAACGCUGGCGGCGUGCCUAAUACAUGCAAGUAGAACGCUGAAGGAGGAGCUUGCUUCUCUGGAUGAGUUGCGAACGGGUGAGUAACGCGUAGGUAACCUGCCUGGUAGCGGGGGAUAACUAUUGGAAACGAUAGCUAAUACCGCAUAAGAGUAGAUGUUGCAUGACAUUUGCUUAAAAGGUGCAAUUGCAUCACUACCAGAUGGACCUGCGUUGUAUUAGCUAGUUGGUGGGGUAACGGCUCACCAAGGCGACGAUACAUAGCCGACCUGCGAGGGUGAUCGGCCACACUGGGACUGUGACACGGCCCAGACUCCUACGGGAGGCAGCAGUAGGGAAUCGUCGGCAAUGGACGGAAGUCUGACCGAGCAACGCCGCGUGAGUGAAGAAGGUCUUCGGAUCGUAAAGCUCUGUUGUAAGAGAAGAACGAGUGUGAGAGUGGAAAGUUCACACUGUGACGGUAUCUUACCAGAAAGGGACGGCUAACUACGUG